rnacentral:rRNA from 1 species
CCAGCAGCCGCGGUAAUACGGAGGAUGCGAGCGUUAUCCGGAUUUAUUGGGUUUAAAGGGUGCGUAGGCGGUCUGAUAAGUCAGUGGUGAAAGUUUUCAGCUUAACUGGAAAAAUGCCGUUGAUACUGUCAGGCUAGAAUAUGGUUGCUGUGAGUGGAAUGUGUGGUGUAGCGGUGAAAUGCUUAGAUAUCACACAGAAUAUCGAUUGCGAAGGCAGCUCACAAAGCCAUUAUUGACGCUGAGGCACGAAAGUGUGGGGAUCAAACAGGAUUAGAUACCCUGGUAGUCCACACUGUAAACGAUGAUAACUAGUUGUUGGCGAUACACAGUCAGUGACCAAGCGAAAGCGAUAAGUUAUCCACCUGGGGAGUACGACCGCAAGGUUGAAACUCAAAGGAAUUGACGGGGGCCCGCACAAGCGGAGGAACAUGUGGUUUAAUUCGAUGAUACGCGAGGAACCUUACCCGGGCUCGAACGGUGCAGGAAUAUGGUAGAGAUAUCAUAGCUAGCAAUAGUCUGUAUCGAGGUGCUGCAUGGUUGUCGUCAGCUCGUGCCGUGAGGUGUCGGCUUAAGUGCCAUAACGAGCGCAACCCUUGUCGUUAGUUGCCAUCAGGUCAAGCUGGGAACUCUAACGAGACUGCCACCGUAAGGUGUGAGGAAGGGGGGGAUGACGUCAAAUCAGCACGGCCCUUACGUCCGGGGCGACACACGUGUUACAAUGGUAGGUACAGAGGGCCGCUAACCAGCGAUGGUGUGCAAAUCUCAAAAACCUAUCUCAGUUCGGAUCGGAGUCUGCAACUCGACUCCGUGAAGUUGGAUUCGCUAGUAAUCGCGCAUCAGCCAUGGCGCGGUGAAUACGUUCCCGGGCCUUGUACACACCGCCCGUCAAGCCAUGGAAGCUGGGGGUGCCUGAAGUUCGUGACCGCAAGGAGCGACCUAGGGCAAAACUAGUAACUGGGGCGAAGUCGUAACAAGGUAGCCGAU